ACGGGAGGCAGCAGUGAGGAAUAUUGGUCAAUGGGCGGAAGCCUGAACCAGUCAAGUAGCGUGAGGGAUGACUGCCCUAUGGGUUGUAAACCUCCUUUGUUCGGGAAUAAAUGAGCCCACGUGUGGGUUUUUGCAUGUACCGUUCGAAUAAGCAUCGGCUAAUUCCGUGCCAGCAGCCGCGGUAAUACGGACGAUGCGAGCGUUAUCCGGAUUUAUUGGGUUUAAAGGGAGCGUAGGCGGUCCUUUAAGUCGGCGGUAAAAUGUCGGGGCCCAACCCAGGCCUGCCGUUGAUACUGGAGGACUUGAAUACACACAAGGAAGGUGGAAUUCGUCGUGUAGCGGUGAAAUGCUUAGAUAUGACGAAGAACUCCGAUUGCGAAGGCAGCCUUCUGGAGUGCGAUUGACGCUGAGGCUCGAAAGCGCGGGUAUCAAACAGGAUUAGAUACCCUGGUA
rnacentral:rRNA from 1 species